rnacentral:rRNA from 1 species
CCUACGGGAGGCAGCAGUAGGGAAUUUUCGUCAAUGGGCGCAAGCCUGAACGAGCAAUGCCGCGUGAACGAGGAAGGUCUUAGGAUCGUAAAGUUCUGUUGAAGGGGAAAAAGAGCGGAGAGCGGAAAUGCUUUCUGAUUGAUAUUACCCUUCGAGGAAGUCACGGCUCACUACGUGCCAGCAGCCGCGGUAAUACGUAGGUGGCGUGCGUUAUCCGGAUUGAUUGGGCGUAAAGGGUGCGUAGGCGGCCUGUUAAGUCUGGAGUGAAAGGUACCGGCUCAACCGGUACAGUCUAUGGGAACUGGCGGGCGAGAGAGCAGGAGAGGGCGGUGGAACUCCGUGGGUAGCGGUAAAAUGCGU